rnacentral:rRNA from 1 species
GUCAAUGGCCAUACCACCCUGAGUGCACCCAAUCUUGUCUAGUCUCAGAAGCUAAGUAGGGUUGGGCCUGGUUAGUGCUUGGAUGGGAGACCAGCUGUGAAUACCAGUGCUGAAU